rnacentral:lncRNA from 1 species
CCCCUCUCCCACCACGUCCUUGUUGAAGGCCCUACCAGAGUGGAGUCUGCGCUGCCACCUGUGAGCCACGAAAGCCCCCACCGGGAGAGAGAGGACAGGAAAGGAGACAAGCACCAAGCCGGAAGCUCUGGUGCUUGGGCACCGGCGUCCUGGAUCGUGCCGAGCGUCCCCAGGUUCUCUGAGAGCCUCGGUCUCUUCGUGGGCACAGCAGGCGGAACUGGAGUUCCUGCCUCUUCACGGGGCCACGGAAGGAGAUGGAAAUCGGACAGGCAAAGCCCGGCUCCCGCAGCCUACAGACCCAGAGCAGGGAGAGGACGACCAUCUAUAGCCGCAAGUGCAGAGUCAGCAAGAGCCAGGCUGACCCACCUGAUGGCUACCUGGCCCAUCACCAUCCGGCCACCCGGAGCCCCUGGGAGAGGCAGGAUGCACGGACUGCAGAUGGAGAAGGCUCCCACUCUCUGCGGUGGGAAGGGGAUGGUGUGGGUGGCGACGGCUGUAUCCUGGGGAUGGCGGGAAGAGGAUGAAAUUGAAGGGUGGGAGGCUGACGGGAAAUGGGUCUGGAGAAAGAAGGAUAAGCAGGGCCGGGGAUUUAGCUCAGCGGUUCGGUGUCCUGCCUCGCAAGCGCAAGGACCGGAGUUCAAUCCCCGGUACCAAAAAAAAGAAGGAUAAGCAGAGGUCCAGGUCGCCUUGUGGGCUUGGUCAGCUGGGUGGAGGCUGGAUGGCCCAUGAGAGGUGGGAUUUUGAGGAUUAAAGCCAGGAGCCUGUGGGUUCGGAGACAGUCUGGGAGAAGGGCACAGUCCCCACGAUGGUCCUCGUACAUGGGGACAAAUGCAGAUCUCGAUCUGAGAGC